UAGAAAAUAAAGGAGAAGAUAGAAACUCUCCCAAAGCUCAAAAGUUUCCUUCCUCUUGAACUUCCACAGUUCUGAACGAGAAACUCUGAAUGAGGAAGGCUGGUAUUUAUAGUGAGAGUUUCUACCUGAGUUUAGGCUAAAAUUGCGGGCAUUACCUAAAAUAAUAACAGGAAAAUACGCUUGUGCCCUGCAUUUUCAGAUGCACG
rnacentral:lncRNA from 1 species